rnacentral:lncRNA from 1 species
CUUUUUUUUCCAUCAUAUUUUAAAAAAUAAAAAAUAAUUGCCAUCUGAAAAUAACAAGUGCAAAAUGUUUUGGGCAAACGUCUAAUACAUCUGGCCUAAGUACAACUGUAGAGCUGAUAACUGUACUGACAUCAGUGCCCUGUGUUUGUGGGAUCAUACAACGUUGUGCAUAGCCCAACUGUUUAAAUAGGCUAUUUAAAUUUCAAAAAUGUCAUCAAAAUAGUUAUUUAACAACGUGUCUAUGUAGGCGAUGUUAAAGACUUUCUUAAUUCAAAACAACUCAUUAACAACAUAUCAUCUAGUGACUUUCUGCUCUUCAGUACUGAGUUGUUUUUAUUUGUUUUAAAUCCACUCUCCAGGUUUUGAAAACAACUCUAGUGGAGUACUACAUUUGAUUGACAGUCAGAUUAUCCAAUCCAUGGGCGCAAAGCGUCAGGUUUAUGUUUGCUCCAGUUAAUCUACCAAUGAGGUUAGUUCUUUCACAACCACGACGACAUAUGGCACUUGGAAAAAGCCAUUUUGGUGAGGCUAAAACAGAAACAUGGCUGACACAAAAGUCGACAAGAAGGAGAUCUCUGCCAAGGUAAGUGGAGGGCAAUUUGUGACCUGAGCGAUGGAUAAAUUACAAUUUCUACACUUUCUUUCAUUCAAAUCUAUUCCGAACGGAAUAUUUUGAAUGGAGAACAACUAUAGGAAACUGGAACAAGUGUUUAUCCGAGCUUCAUCAAAUCUAACUGGUUUUGGAUGAGGCUUCUGUUGCGGUUGUAGGAAUUAAAACACUUUUUUUGGAGACCUAUGAUAUUAGAUAAAAAUUUAGCCUAACAAUCAAUGAGUACGCCGAAGUUGCGCUCACUAGUCUACUGAAACAUUAACAGCAAGCUGCGAUGCUUUUAUUGCCCAGAGUACAAGUCUGCGCGCGUUUCUUUGUUUAUACUACCGUGUCUGUUCAGUUGAGCACGGAUUUGAAGCUCGUUUGAAGAACUCAUUCACACACUCACAUACUUCUGCUUUGUCGUGUUGAUCAAUUCGCUUUGUAUACUUCUCAUUUUAUAGGCUACAUUGUAUUUGCUGGUCGAGGCUGCAAUUGAUUGAUCCAAUCGACAAAUUCGUACCGCGCACCGGCUCUGUCAUAACUUGCUACUUGAAUAGAUCCCAUUGUUUUUGGAGGCUGUUUUCAUUGAAUAUAUGAUAUUGAUGUGGAAGUUUAUGGGGAAUGGCUCGGACGUAAAAGCCUCGCGCCUUUUAGAAUUCAGAAUGUGGUGAAAGGGAUUUAAAUUGCGCGUAAAGGAUUAAUAACGGAAACAACAUGAAAAUUAUACCCGACCUGAGUACGAGAUGAGUAAACUACGGGAGUAAUUAUUUUGCAUAACUGUAAAUGGAGUGGGGAUAGCGAUUCAUGUCUUCUAGUUGUGUGUUUAUAAUCAGUGAUUCACGGCUGUAUUGACAUGGAUAAGCCCUGCGGUGUGUACAUUCGUUCCACCAAGCUUCUGUCUGUCU